AACGCUGGCGGCAUGCCUCAUACAUGCAAGUCGAACGAGGUCUUCGGACCUAGUGGCGCACGGGUGAGUAACAUGUGGGAAUCUACCUGAAGGUUCGGAAUAACUGCGGGAAACUGUAGCUAAUACCGGAUGUGUCUGCAAAGAGAAAGAUUUAUCGCCUUCAGAUGAGCCCGCACUAGAUUAGCUAGUUGGUGAGGUAAUUGCUCCACCAAGGCUACGAUCUAUAGCUGAUUUGAGAGGAUGAUCAGCCACACUGGGACUGAGACACGGCCCAGACUCCUACGGGAGGCAGCAGUAGGGAAUAUUGGACAAUGGGGGAAACCCUGAUCCAGCAAUGCCGCGUGAGUGAAGAAGGCCUUCGGGUUGUAAAGCUCUUUCAUCAAUGAUGAUAAUGACAUUAGUUGAAGAAGAAGCCCCGGCUAA
rnacentral:rRNA from 1 species